CGGUGGAGCAUGUGGUUAAUUCGAAGCAACGCGAAGAACCUUACCAGGCCUUGACAUGCAGAGAACUUUCCAGAGAUGGACUGGUGCCUUCGGGAACUCUGACACAGGUGCUGCAUGGCUGUCGUCAGCUCGUGUCGUGAGAUGUUGGGUUAAGUCCCGUAACGAGCGCAACCCUUGUCCUUAGUUACCAGCACGUUAUGGUGGGCACUCUAAGGAGACUGCCGGUGACAAACCGGAGGAAGGUGGGGAUGACGUCAAGUCAUCCAUGGCCCUUACGGCCUGGGCUACACACGUGCUACAAUGGUCGGUACAAAGGGUUGCCAAGCCGCGAGGUGGAGCUAAUCCCAUAAAACCGAUCGUAGUCCGGAUCGCAGUCUGCAACUCGACUGCGUGAAGUCGGAAUCGCUAGUAAUCGUGAAUCAGAAUGUCACGGUGAAUACGUUCCCGGGCCUU
rnacentral:rRNA from 1 species